rnacentral:rRNA from 1 species
GGUUGGACCUGCGGAAGGAUCAUUA